AGUGCCAAAAACCUACCCUUUUCAGGCACCCGAGUUCCCAUAGAUGAAGUGCGUUCUUCAAAUCAAGUUCCCAUAGAUGAAAUGAAUUCUUCAAAUCCAGUGAAUCUAUUCAGAUCCAUGUCUUCUGAUCAGGUAUGAAUUGAACUCCAAUCCACUUCAUCCUGUGAAAACCCAGAACCCAAGGUAACCGCUCUCUCUUGGGUUCUCUGUUUGGGUUUCUAGGUUGCUUUCGCCUUUCCUGUUUCUUAAAUUUCGCCAAAAUUUUUGUUGAACAUAUUACCUAUCACAUAUCCUUACAUCACCUAAAUUGGAGUUAGCCAUAUCAAACAUUUGGUAUCAUCUCUGUGCUUCCAUUUGAUUACAGAAACAAGAAUUGAUUGAAAAAAAUGGGGAUAUUACAUGUUUGAAGAAUUGCCUCUAAGAAACAGUGUCUGCAUAUAUGCAUGACUUAGUUGGGGGAAUGGGUCUGCUGUUGUGUAUUGCAUAUAUGUAUGUUGUUGCUGCCUCUGAGUGCUUGGUUAUUAUUUUGUAUCAUUGUUGGUGGCAUCAAUUUUUGGAUGGUUUAACAUUGGAUUGUUAGAAGUAACAGUUUCUACUCUCCUGAUUAUAAAUGUUACCAUAAAAACAAAAUUGAGAUUCCUGUUGUGUUACAGACCCAGUAGAUUAAAUAAUAAAACGAACUGAAAAUAGUCAAUAAAUUUGGUAGCAAGCUGAGAUGGGACCCUUCCAUAUAUCUUCAAAUGUGAAAUUAAUCACAUGACACUAAAUGAGAAACUUGACUAGAAGUUGUCAUUCAUCUGUAUUAUUGUUAUUUUACUGAAAUAAAGACAAGUUAUUCUCUUGAUUGUGAAAAUUGUUUUUGCACUACUGUUUUAUUGUCCAAAGAUUUUGAUAAAUGCUUAGAUAUGCUAUAUUCUAUCAAUUUCAAUUGUCUUCUAUUGUCAAGCCUUUCUGGUAUCUAAGGAUAAAUCUGUCCUACCUUUUGGUUUGUGUGGGGCUUGAAGGUGGGAUAUAUUGUAAUUGGGGUUGUGUUUUCAAAUGCGAUGAGCUGCAAUUGCUCCUGAAGUUGUCACUAUUGAUUCGAUGACACAUCCCUAGUUCAACACAACAACUUCAAGUAUCAGAAUCAUACAGAAAUACCCAACAUUUGGAUUGAAGCAAUAAUAGUAAUUUCUAUUAUCAAAAUGAUCAAAAUCAACCCCUUUACCUGAUAGAUUGAUCUUGCCCCACCAAAGAUAAAGUCAAUGCUUCCUUGGAUGUAACACUGGUUAAAGUAGUGUGUUCCAAACAAAUCCAUGAGGGGGUCCUGUGCCCCCAAGAGCCUGACAUUGUAGAACAUGGCUUUAUCACCGUUUAUACUCAGUGUCAUUGCUUGCAUUCCAGGCACUCUAGGCCUUGCAUCCACUGUUUUCAUUGAUUUCUCUGAUUAUCUGCUUUUUUACGGCUACCGAACAGAGCACCGAGUUCAAUUUGAUUGCCUCAGGUGCUUAAGGUGGUUUUGUAUAGAUAGCAUCAUGGGGUUGUGGAGUGGCACUCUGUAUAGUUGCUAAUUUUUGGGGUGUUGGAUUAAUAAUAUGACUUCUCGGGAAUGUUUCUGUUACUUAAAGAAACCUUUUGUUGAUUUUGAGAAUCUCCUUUGAUUUUUGUAGUCGUUUUUGGUUGAUGGCAUAGAGAUCACAGUAAAUGAUUACAAUUUUCUGGUCUAUUAUUUUGUAUUGUGAAAUUGAAAGUUUGGUAAUAAAAACCUUUUUCCAAUUUGUAG
rnacentral:lncRNA from 1 species